UACGGAGGGUGCAAGCGUUAAUCGGAAUUACUGGGCGUAAAGCGCACGCAGGCGGUUUGUUAAGUCAGAUGUGAAAUCCCCGGGCUCAACCUGGGAACUGCAUUUGAAACUGGCAAGCUUGAGUCUUGUAGAGGGGGGUAGAAUUCCAGGUGUAGCGGUGAAAUGCAUAGAGAUCUGGAGGAAUACCGGUGGCGAAGGCGGCCCCCUGGACAAAGACUGACGCUCAGGUGCGAAAGCGUGGGAGC
rnacentral:rRNA from 1 species